rnacentral:rRNA from 1 species
GAUGAACGCUAGCGAUAGGCUUAACACAUGCAAGUCGAGGGGCAGCACAAGGUAGCUUGCUAUCUGGGUGGCGACCGGCGCACGGGUGCGUAACGCGUAUGCAACUUGCCCUAUACAGGAGGAUAACCCGUCGAAAGACGGACUAAUACUGCGUAUGCUCACAACUUGGCAUCAAGUGGUGAGGAAAGAAGUUCGGUAUAGGAUAGGCAUGCGUCCCAUUAGCUUGUUGGUGAGGUAACGGCUCACCAAGGCAACGAUGGGUAGGGGAACUGAGAGGUUUAUCCCCCACACUGGUACUGCGACACGGACCAGACUCCUACGGGAGGCAGCAGUGUGGUAUAUUGGUCAAUGGGCGCGAGCCUGAACCAGCCAAGUCGCGUGAAGGAUGACUGUCUUAUGGAUUGUAAACUUCUUUUAUACGGGAAUAACAAGAGUCACGUGUGACUCCCUGCAUGUACCGUAUGAAUAAGCAUCGGCUAACUCCGUG